AAGCCGUUCGCUGUUAACUAACGUUAGCUCGUUUCUGUGCUGACCCUCGCAGUCUCCACGCGCCCUCGCAGCCGCUGGGAACGUCCGUGCUGAAGCUUUUAAAACGCCACCCGGCAAACGAGACAAACGUCCCAGCGACCAUAUCCCUGCCUGCGAGCGUAGUCUUUGAAUACGAUGCUAGACCGAAAGGAUGGUAGAAUAGCAAGCAGCGGUGAUUUCCUGUGUUUUGGAAUUUUAACGUCAGCACCACUUACUGUCUAUAGACAGCUGUGGCUAAAGGUGAAAAAGAAAGUUCUCUAUGCAUGAUAAACCUAAAAACUAGGAAUAAAGCAUUAGCAUUUUGUACUGUGGACAAUUCAGGAGGUAGUUCUGUUGCUCCAUCUGAUACGUGCAUUUGCUUAAAGACGACACUUUAUAGUUCUAGGAGCACAAGACAUUUAAGAAGAUUAUCUGAUGCCCAAAAGAGCAACAAGAUCUGGAUUUGGAAAAACCCUUCUGCUCACAGCUCCUACAAGAUUGGUCUUCAGCUUCACAGUUGGCCCACCUGGAGCAUCCAUUUCUCUGUGGUCAGAGGUCCCUGGUCCAUCAUGCCAGGGCCGUUUGCGUGGUGGUAGUGAGGCCAUGUCCAUGCCCUGGAGCGAAGAAGAACGUUCUCGGUUAGCUGGAGAAUGUCCAUCGUGAGGAGGGUGAUCUGGACGAGGACCUGAUCAUGACAAGAAGAAACAGGAUCAUAAGCAAACAAGCAAACAGAUGAAUAAGUUGUAAGAAAGCUCAAGGAUUCUGGUUUCCGCCCUCCUUCAAAACGUGGAAAUUCAUCUGGAGUAGGAAGCAGACCCUUCCGGCCUCCUGAGCAGCAAGAGACGCAGGGGAUGGGAGUAAGAAGAGACAUUGUACUCAUGAAACUAUUGUAAUUUGCCCAAGAAACGUCUUUGCUUCCUC